rnacentral:rRNA from 1 species
UACGUAGGGGGCAAGCGUUGUCCGGAUUCAUUGGGCGUAAAGAGCGUGUAGGCGGCCAGGUAGGUCAGUUGUGAAAACUGGAGGCUCAACCUUCAGAGGUCGACCGAAACCAUCUGGCUAGAGUCCGGGAGAGGAGAGUGGAAUUCCUGGUGUAGCGGUGAAAUGCGCAGAUAUCAGGAAGAACACCCGUGGCGAAAGCGGCUCUCUGGAACGGUACUGACGCUGAGGAGCGAAAGCGUGGGGAGCGAACAGG